ACUCAAAUGAAUAGACGGGGACCCGCACAAGCGGUGGAGCAUGUGGAUUAAUUCGAUACUAACCGAAGAACCUUACCCAGACUUGACAUCGAUGGCAAGACUUAGAAAUAGGUCCCUUAGGCCACAAGCCUAACCUGAAGACACCUGUUGCAUGGCUGUCGUCAGCUCGUGCCGUGAGGUGUUUGGUUAAGUCCAGCAACGAGCGCAACCCUCAUCCUGUGUUACCAGCAAGUAAAGUUGGGGACUCACGGGAAACCGCCGGCGUAAGCCGGAGGAAGGUGAGGAUGACGUCAAGUCAGCAUGGCGGUUACGUCUGGGGCUUCACACAUGCUACAAUGGGCGCAACAAACGGCAGCAAUACCGCGAGGUGGAGCUAAUCCGAAAAAUACGCCCCCAGUUCAGAUUGCAGUCUGCAACUCGACUGCAUGAAGUCGGAAUCGCUAGUAACCGCAGGUCAGCUAUACUGCGGUGAAUACGUUCCCGGGUCUUGCACACACCGCCCGU
rnacentral:rRNA from 1 species